CAGUCGCCGCGGGAAUACGGAGGGUGCAAGCGUUAAUCGGAAUUACUGGGCGUAAAGCGCACGCAGGCGGUCUGACAAGUCAGAUGUGAAAUCCCCGGGCUUAACCUGGGAACUGCAUUUGAAACUGUCAGGCUGGAGUCUUGUAGAGGGGGGUGGAAUUCCAGGUGUAGCGGUGAAAUGCGUAGAGAUCUGGAGGAAUACCGGUGGCGAAGGCGGCCCCCUGGACAAAGACUGACGCUCAGGUGCGAAAGCGUGGGGAGCAAACAGGAUUAGAUACCCCUGUAGUCCCUGUCUCUUAUUU
rnacentral:rRNA from 1 species